CGCUAUCACUCCUACGGGGAGGCAGCAGUAGGGAAUCUUCCACAAUGGGCGCAAGCCUGAUGGAGCAACACCGCGUGAGUGAAGAAGGGUUUCGGCUCGUAAAGCUCUGUUGUUAAAGAAGAACACGUAUGAGAAUAACUGUUCAUACGUUGACGGUAUUUAACCAGAAAGUCACGGCUAACUACGUGCCAGCAGCCGCGGUAAUACGUAGGUGGCAAGCGUUAUCCGGAUUUAUUGGGCGUAAAGAGAGUGCAGGCGGUUUUCUAAGUCUGAUGUGAAAGCCUUCGGCUUAACCGGAGAAGUGCAUCGGAAACUGGAUAACUUGAGUGCAGAAGAGGGUAGUGGAACUCCAUGUGUAGCGGUGGAAUGCGUAGAUAUAUGGAAGAACACCAGUGGCGAAGGCGGCUACCUGGUCUGCAACUGACGCUGAGACUCGAAAGCAUGGGUAGCGAACAGGAUUAGAUACCCUGGUAG
rnacentral:rRNA from 1 species